GAUUAGUCACGUGGCUUGGUUGCCUACGCGCUGCUGGGCCGUGGGAAGAUGGCGGACGGAAAGGGAGACGCCGCCGCCGCCGCCGCCGGGGCCGGGGCUGAGGCUCCAGCGGUAGCGGGAGCCGGAGAAGGAGCCGAAACAGAGUCCAUGGCUCGGGGUCAUCGCCCUGCAUCUCCGGCGCCGGGAGCCCAGGGCCUGCGACCGUGUUUGUGGCAGCUGGAGACAGAGCUGAGGGAGCAGGAGGUGUCUGAGGUCUCAUCUUUGAACUACUGCCGGAGCUUCUGCCAGGUGAGGGGCUGACUGGCUGAUUGA
rnacentral:lncRNA from 1 species